GACGAACGCUGGCGGUGUGCUUAACACAUGCAAGUGGUGCGACGAACCAGAGCUUGCUCUGGGGCAAAGCCGCGAACGGGUGAGUAACACGUGGGUAAUCUACCCCGAUGACCGGGACAACCCGAGGAAACUCGGGCUAAUACCGGAUGUGGUACGGAGACAUAAGUCUCUUUACUAAAGGUAGCUUCGGCUUCCGCAUUGGGAGGGGCCCGCGGCCCAUUAGCUAGUUGGUGGGGUCAAGGCCUACCAAGGCAACGAUGGGUAGCUGGUCUGAGAGGACGAUCAGCCACACUGGGACUGAGACACGGCCCAGACUCCUACGGGAGGCAGCAGUGGGGAAUCUUGCGCAAUGCGCGAAAGCGUGACGCAGCAACACCGCGUGAGGGAAGACGGCCUUAGGGUUGUAAACCUCUUUCAGAUGGGACGAAGGUGAUGCGGUGAAUAGCCGAUGUCAUUGACGGUACCGUCAGAAGAAGCUCGGCUAACUACGUGCCAGCAGCCGCGGUAA
rnacentral:rRNA from 1 species